rfam:Gossypium raimondii Chr06_contig_893, whole genome shotgun sequence.
UGUUAAAAUUUCCAUUCGCUUUUACGGUUAAAAACUGAUGUGGUUAACAAAAUAAUCAAAUAAUGACAUAUGUUGUGUCAUGUGUACCUCAUGUUGAUGUACAAUAAUAAAUUUUUAACAGCAAAAAAAUGGAUGAAAUUUUUAGCA